UUUCAGGGCGGAGUGAAAUUCUCCACCGGUGGUAAAGUCCACGAGCCUUGCGGCUGAUUCGGUGAAAUUCCGAAACCGACGGUAUAGUCCGGAUGAAAGAAA
rnacentral:ncRNA from 1 species